rnacentral:tRNA from 1 species
GGAGAUAUAGCUCAGUUGGUAGAGUGCUUGCCUUAUAUGCCUAGGCGCUGGGUUCAAUCCCCAGUAUCACCA